rnacentral:rRNA from 1 species
GACGAACGCUGGCGGCGUGCUUAACACAUGCAAGUCGAGCGGUAAGGCCCUUUCGGGGGUACACGAGCGGCGAACGGGUGAGUAACACGUGGGUGACCUGCCCUCAGCUCUGGGAUAAGCCUGGGAAACCGGGUCUAAUACCGGAUAUGACUCCAUGACGCAUGUUGUGGGGUGGAAAGCCUUGUGCGGCUGAGGAUGGGCCCGCGGCCUAUCAGCUUGUUGGUGGGGUGAUGGCCUACCAAGGCGACGACGGGUAGCCGGCCUGAGAGGGCGACCGGCCACACUGGGACUGAGACACGG